CGAGAUAUAACGUAGCUUGGUAGCGUAUCUGCUUUGGGAGUAGAAAGUCACAGGUUCAAAUCCUGUUAUCUCGA
rnacentral:tRNA from 1 species